CCGGUAGCACUGGAAAUUAAAGUCCUCUGUUUACCCACAGAAGCAGAAACAGUCAAAGCUUCCUCACUCUGCUGUAGAAAUGACCUGAACACUGACCUGAAGAGACCACCCUCCUGAGAGAGGAAAGGUCACUGAGCCUCCAUGCAAGAUCUGCUCAGGGGAUCCU
ensembl:misc_RNA